CGGAACAUUUUUUACUUUAGUGGCGGACGGGUGAGUAACGCGUGGGUAACCUGCCUUAUACAGGGGGAUAACACUUAGAAAUAGGUGCUAAGACCGCAUAAGCGCCCAGGGCCGCAUGGCCCAGGGUGAAAAACUCCGGUGGUAUAAGAUGGGCCCGCGUCUGAUUAGCCAGUUGGCAGGGUAACGGCCUACCAAAGCGACGAUCAGUAGCCGGCCUGAGAGGGUGGACGGCCACAUUGGGACUGAGACACGGCCCAAACUCCUACGGGAGGCAGCAG
rnacentral:rRNA from 1 species